rnacentral:lncRNA from 1 species
ACUCAGCGGUGACCUCGGUUUUGGACUUUUAUGGUUUUUAACCCAUAUUUAUGAUAAUUGGUUUUAUUUUUAUUCUAUUUUUACUGGCUAAGUUUUUGGGUUGUAAUUGGACUUUUGGACUUUGGUUUUGGGUUUUAAUUAUCUUUACCUUAUGGAUUACAAUUGCUAGUAGUAAGAAACCUCAAUUUUCAAAAGAAAC